rnacentral:tRNA from 1 species
AUCUGGGUGGCUCAGUGGAUUGAGAGCCAGGCCCAGAGACAGGAAGUCCCAGGUUCAAAUCCUGACUCAGACA